UAGGGAAUAUUGCACAAUGGGCGAAAGCCUGAUGCAGCAACGCCGCGUGCACGAUGAAGGCCUUCGGGUCGUAAAGUGCUUUUUGGGGAGAUGAGGAAGGACAGUAUCCCCAGAAUAAGGAUCGGCUAACUACGUG
rnacentral:rRNA from 1 species